AUUGAACGCUGGCGGCAGGCCUAACACAUGCAAGUCGAGCGGAUGAAGGGAGCUUGCUCCUGGGUUCAGCGGCGGACGGGUGAGUAAUGCCUAGGAAUCUGCCUGGUAGUGGGGGAUAACGUCCGGAAACGGGCGCUAAUACCGCAUACGUCCUGAGGGAGAAAGUGGGGGAUCUUCGGACCUCACGCUAUCAGAUGAGCCUAGGUCGGAUUAGCUAGUUGGUGGGGUAAAGGCCUACCAAGGCGACGAUCCGUAACUGGUCUGAGAGGAUGAUCAGUCACACUGGAACUGAGACACGGCCCAGACUCCUACGGGAGGCAGCAGUGGGGAAUAUUGGACAAUGGGCGAAAGCCUGAUCCAGCAAUGCCGCGUGUGUGAAGAAGGUCUUCGGAUUGUAAAGCACUUUAAGUUGGGAGGAAGGGCAGUAAGUUAAUACCUUGCUGUUUUGACGUUACCCACAGAAUAAGCACCGGCUAACUUCGUG
rnacentral:rRNA from 1 species